GAUUCAGUUAUCAGUGUUCCGAAAAAGUUUCCUAGAUGAUUCUACCACGUAGCCAGGGUUGAGACAUGUUCCUUUACAGCAAGAUUUGACCCCUGUUGCUGUCAUGAUCUCUUUGAAGCAUCCUCUGCCCAGCGGAGUCCAUCCUUGGGAGAAGCAGUCCCCAAGACCAAAUCAGGUGGGACUGGAUCCCAUGUUCCCCAAACCCGUGACUCCUACACAGACUGGUUACGAUGAUCAACGCUGCUGUGACAGCUUGAACUCUUUGGAAAAGACCCUGAUGCU